rnacentral:rRNA from 1 species
GGGUUGUGAGGUUAAGCGACUAAGCGUACACGGUGGAUGCCCUGGCAGUCAGAGGCGAUGAAGGACGUGCUAAUCUGCGAUAAGCGUCGGUGAGGUGAUAUGAACCGUUAUAACCGGCGAUUUCCGAAUGGGGAAACCCAGUGUGUUUCGACACACUAUCAUUAACUGAAUCCAUAGGUUAAUGAGGGCGAACCGGGGGAACUGGAAACAUCUAAGUACCCCGAGGAAAAGAAAUCAACCGAGAUUCCCCCAGUAGCGGCGAGCGAGAACGGGGAGGAGCCCAGAGCCUGAAUCAGUGUGUGUGUUAGUGGAAGCGUCUGGAAAGGCGCGCGAUACAGGGUGACAGCCCCGUACACAAAAAUGCACAUACUGUGAGCUCGAUGAGUAGGGCGGGACACGUGGUAUCCUGUCUGAAUAUGGGGGGACCAUCCUCCAAGGCUAAAUACUCCUGACUGACCGAUAGUGAACCAGUACCGUGAGGGAAAGGCGAAAAGAACCCCGGCGAGGGGAGUGAAAAAGAACCUGAAACCGUGUACGUACAAGCAGUGGGAGCCUCUUAAUGGGGUGACUGCGUACCUUUUGUAUAAUGGGUCAGCGACUUAUAUUCUGUAGCAAGGUUAACCGAAUAGGGGAGCCGAAGGGAAACCGAGUCUUAACUGGGCGCUAAGUUGCAGGGUAUAGACCCGAAACCCGGUGAUCUAGCCAUGGGCAGGUUGAAGGUUGGGUAACACUAACUGGAGGACCGAACCGACUAAUGUUGAAAAAUUAGCGGAUGACUUGUGGCUGGGGGUGAAAGGCCAAUCAAACCGGGAGAUAGCUGGUUCUCCCCGAAAGCUAUUUAGGUAGCGCCUCGUGAAUUCAUCUCCGGGGGUAGAGCACUGUUUCGGCAAGGGGGUCAUCCCGACUUACCAACCCGAUGCAAACUGCGAAUACCGGAGAAUGUUAUCACGGGAGACACACGGCGGGUGCUAACGUCCGUCGUGAAGAGGGAAACAACCCAGACCGCCAGCUAAGGUCCCAAAGUCAUGGUUAAGUGGGAAACGAUGUGGGAAGGCCCAGACAGCCGGGGAUGUUGGCUUAGAAGCAGCCAUCAUUUAAAGAAAGCGUAAUAGCUCACUGGUCGAGUCGGCCUGCGCGGAAGAUGUAACGGGGCUAAACCAUGCACCGAAGCUGCGGCAGCGACACUAUGUGUUGUUGGGUAGGGGAGCGUUCUGUAAGCCUGUGAAGGUGGCCUGUGAGGGUUGCUGGAGGUAUCAGAAGUGCGAAUGCUGACAUAAGUAACGAUAAAGCGGGUGAAAAGCCCGCUCGCCGGAAGACCAAGGGUUCCUGUCCAACGUUAAUCGGGGCAGGGUGAGUCGACCCUAAGGCGAGGCCGAAAGGCGUAGUCGAUGGGAAACAGGUUAAUAUUCCUGUACUUGGUGUUACUGCGAAGGGGGGGACGGAGAAGGCUAUGUUGGCCGGGCGACGGUUGUCCCGGUUUAAGCGUGUAGGCUGGUUUUCCGAGGCAAAUCCGGAAAACCAAGGCUGAGGCGUGAUGACGAGGCACUACGGUGCUGAAGCGACAAAUGCCCUGCUUCCAGGAAAAGCCUCUAAGCAUCAGGUAACAUCAAAUCGUACCCCAAACCGACACAGGUGGUCAGGUAGAGAAUACCAAGGCGCUUGAGAGAACUCGGGUGAAGGAACUAGGCAAAAUGGUGCCGUAACUUCGGGAGAAGGCACGCUGAUAUGUAGGUGAAGCGACUUGCUCGUGGAGCUGAAAUCAGUCGAAGAUACCAGCUGGCUGCAACUGUUUAUUAAAAACACAGCACUGUGCAAACACGAAAGUGGACGUAUACGGUGUGACGCCUGCCCGGUGCCGGAAGGUUAAUUGAUGGGGUUAGCGGCAACGCGAAGCUCUUGAUCGAAGCCCCGGUAAACGGCGGCCGUAACUAUAACGGUCCUAAGGUAGCGAAAUUCCUUGUCGGGUAAGUUCCGACCUGCACGAAUGGCGUAAUGAUGGCCAGGCUGUCUCCACCCGAGACUCAGUGAAAUUGAACUCGCUGUGAAGAUGCAGUGUACCCGCGGCAAGACGGAAAGACCCCGUGAACCUUUACUAUAGCUUGACACUGAACAUUGAGCCUUGAUGUGUAGGAUAGGUGGGAGGCUUUGAAGUGUGGACGCCAGUCUGCAUGGAGCCGACCUUGAAAUACCACCCUUUAAUGUUUGAUGUUCUAACGUUGGCCCGUAAUCCGGGUUGCGGACAGUGUCUGGUGGGUAGUUUGACUGGGGCGGUCUCCUCCUAAAGAGUAACGGAGGAGCACGAAGGUUGGCUAAUCCUGGUCGGACAUCAGGAGGUUAGUGCAAUGGCAUAAGCCAGCUUGACUGCGAGCGUGACGGCGCGAGCAGGUGCGAAAGCAGGUCAUAGUGAUCCGGUGGUUCUGAAUGGAAGGGCCAUCGCUCAACGGAUAAAAGGUACUCCGGGGAUAACAGGCUGAUACCGCCCAAGAGUUCAUAUCGACGGCGGUGUUUGGCACCUCGAUGUCGGCUCAUCACAUCCCCGGGGCUGAAGUAGGUCCCAAGGGUAUGGCUGUUCGCCAUUUAAAGUGGUACGCGAGCUGGGUUUAGAACGUCGUGAGACAGUUCGGUCCCUAUCUGCCGUGGGCGCUGGAGAACUGAGGGGGGCUGCUCCUAGUACGAGAGGACCGGAGUGGACGCAUCACUGGUGUUCGGGUUGUCAUGCCAAUGGCACUGCCCGGUAGCUAAAUGCGGAAGAGAUAAGUGCUGAAAGCAUCUAAGCACGAAACUUGCCCCGAGAUGAGUUCUCCCUGACUCCUUGAGGGUCCUGAAGGAACGUUGAAGACGACGACGUUGAUAGGCCGGGUGUGUAAGCGCAGCGAUGCGUUGAGCUAACCGGUACUAAUGAACCGUGAGGCUUAACCUUACAACGCCGAAG